CCUACGGGAGGCAGCAGUAGGGAAUAUUGCUCAAUGGGGGAAACCCUGAUGCAGCAACGCCGCGUGGAGGAUGAAGGUUUUCGGAUUGUAAACUCCUUUUGUUAGAGAAGAUAAUGACGGUAUCUAACGAAUAAGCACCGGCUAACUCCGUGCCAGCAGCCGCGGUAAUACGGAGGGUGCAAGCGUUACUCGGAAUUACUGGGCGUAAAGAGCGCGUAGGCGGUCUGGCAAGUCAGAUGUGAAAUCCUAUGGCUUAACCAUAGAACUGCAUUUGAGACUGUUAUUCUAGAGUAUGGGAGAGGUAGGUGGAAUUCUUGGUGUAGGGGUAAAAUGCGUAGAGAUCAAGAGGAAUACUCAUGGCGAAGGCGACCUGCUAGAACAUAACUGACGCUGAGGCGCGAAAGCGUGGGGAGCAAACAGGAUUAGAUACCCGUGUAGUC
rnacentral:rRNA from 1 species